GACGAACGCUGGCGGCGUGCCUAAUACAUGCAAGUCGAGCGAAUCGAUGGGAGCUUGCUCCCUGAGAUUAGCGGCGGACGGGUGAGUAACACGUGGGUAACCUGCCUGUAAGACUGGGAUAACUUCGGGAAACCGGAGCUAAUACCGGAUACUUUCUUUUCUCGCAUGAGGGAAGAUGGAAAGAUGGUUCUGCUAUCACUUACAGAUGGACCCGCGGCGCAUUAGCUAGUUGGUGAGGUAACGGCUCACCAAGGCAACGAUGCGUAGCCGACCUGAGAGGGUGAUCGGCCACACUGGGACUGAGACACGGCCCAGACUCCUACGGGAGGCAGCAGUAGGGAAUCUUCCGCAAUGGACGAAAGUCUGACGGAGCAACGCCGCGUGAGCGAAGAAGGCCUUCGGGUCGUAAAGCUCUGUUGUUAGGGAAGAACAAGUGCGAGAGUAACUGCUCGUACCUUGACGGUACCUAACCAGAAAGCCACGGCUAACUACGUGCCAGCAGCCGCUGUAAUAC
rnacentral:rRNA from 1 species